rnacentral:rRNA from 1 species
UACGUAGGGUGCAAGCGUUGUCCGGAAUUAUUGGGCGUAAAGAGCUCGUAGGCGGUCUGUCGCGUCUGCUGUGAAAACUCAGGGCUUAACCCUGAGCUUGCAGUGGGUACGGGCAGACUAGAGUGCGGUAGGGGAGACUGGAAUUCCUGGUGUAGCGGUGAAAUGCGCAGAUAUCAGGAGGAACACCGGUGGCGAAGGCGACUCUCUGGUCUGUAACUGACGCUGAGGUGCGAAAGCGUGGGGAGCAAACAGG